UACGAAGGUCCCGAGCGUUAUCCGGAUUUAUUGGGUUUAAAGGGUGCGUAGGCGGGUUAUUAAGUCAGUGGUGAAAGCCUUCAGCUCAACUGAAGAACUGCCAUUGAUACUGAUGAUCUUGAGUACGAUUGAGGUAGGCGGAAUGUGUCAUGUAGCGGUGAAAUGCUUAGAUAUGUCACAGAACACCGAUUGCGAAGGCAGCUUACUAAGUCGUAACUGACGCUGAUGCACGAAAGCGUGGGGAGCAAACAGG
rnacentral:rRNA from 1 species